ACCUGAUUGCGCGGCCGCGACCCCACUCUCCACCUCUCCAUCCCGUCGGAACCCUCGUCCUCCCUCCGCCGCUCUAGCUCCGAGUCCCAGCUCCCAUCCAGAUCUACGCCGACCACCUCCGGCCCCGCUUCAACCGUCUCUGGAUGGACGGCAACGCGCGGUUCCCGCGCCGCCUCUUUGCAGCCUAGGUGGCCGUGCUCGUGGCUCUGCUGCUACAACUUCCCCAUGCUCGCGGGGCUCCCGUCGCAGGCGCACGCGCGCGGGAUGCUCGCCGAGGCCAUGGACCUCGUCCGCGCCAUGAUGAACUCGGAGGGACAGACCACGUCUUUGUUGCGUCGCACGAACUCGGAGCAUAUCCCAGAAGAAUCCCAGCAAGCCCAAGAACCCCCGAGCGCCCCUCUUCAUUUUCAUGUAAGCCCCCAGAUCCGGUUCAGUUCCAGCGUUUAUGUGUGUUCUGAUUGAGGUCUAAGUGUUGGUUUGUCUGUGCUAGGAGGAGAUCCCUGAAGCAUCGCAUCUCAGUCGGUGGCGUCUUCAGUUCUACACGACCUCAAAUCCCUGAUUCUCCCCAUGUCACUGCCGCAUCCACCACCACGGUGACACAUCCAUGCAGGCUUAUUCAUCUUCAUGUUCUAGUUUGUUUUGGGGUUUCACAAGUAGAGCAACGGUAAGCAAGGAAGUGAAAUUGCCAUGCUGCUGGCCCAAGUCACCUGAAAUACGCUGCUCACCAAGGUGACUAAGCACAAGCAGUUAACACCCUCUUGCCUCUUCGAGCUCCUCAGGUAAUUCUGCUGACAAUGGGUGGUUCAAGUAUUAACUUGUCGGAUCAGCAUUGAAGAAGGUCUUGUUCAUGGGUGUAGUAUAUAGUGGCAACCUGUUGAUGGAGGAGAAGAAGAUCCAGCAGAACAUCCAGAUGAGCGCCAACUUCCUCGUGUUCCUGCUCAAGAACUGGCAGAACGUGAGGUGCCUGUACAUCAAGAGGACCAUGGGGAAGCCACUGCAGUUCCACAACUUCGCGUACUUUGUGAACUGACUUUUCAGGCAAAUCUAUUGGGAAGGUGAACUGAUAAUUUUGCUGGGAAGUUGGUUGACUGCCUGUUCCUGGCUGUAGAAGAUGAUGCACGUUCUAUAUAUGUAAUGUUGAUUGCAAAAUUCCUUACCUGGGAAAUUUGAUCACAAGUUACAUGAAUGCUGAAUUCUAAUUCCUCGGCUAUAUAUUCAAAUUCUUAUGUAUA